UGAUCCUGGCUCAGAACGAACGCUGGCGGCGCGUUUUAAGCAUGCAAGUCGAGCGGCAAGGGUAUCAAUACCCCUAGAGCGGCGGACGGGUGAGUAACACGUGGACAACCUGCCCUUAGGCGAGGGAUAGCCCAGGGAAACCUGGAUUAAUACCUUAUAAGACCACUGAUAGGAGUAUGAGUGGGGAAAGGUGCUACGGCGCCGCCUGAGGAUGGAUCUGCGUCCCAUUAGCUAAAUGGCAGGGUAAUGGCCUACCNUGGCGACGAUGGGUAGCCU
rnacentral:rRNA from 1 species